CGCCUAAACCCCUAACGGGGCAUGGCAUCAUAAAGCCACUGCUACAUAGAGACGGGCACCCGUCUCCCAUCAUGUAGCAGUGGUCGGUAAUCUGAAAGGAUUACCAGACAGUCGGAAACGGCUGUC
rnacentral:sRNA from 1 species